GUGAUCCUGGCUGUCUGUCCUAGGGUCACAGACACUGCUGGGGGCUGAGUCACUUCAGAAGAGGACACCGAACCUGUAAGAGAGGACAGGAGAGAUGCAGCUGAGCCCGGUGACCCACAGGGCAGAGACUGGAGGUGUCCUGAGCUAAUACAGUCACUGUUCCUACUUCCAAGGUCAUCCCUGGAAUGCCAAGGUGCUCCGUCCCCCUGAGUCUGCUCUGAAGUGCACUCGGAUCUUCUCGGUGUUGGAAUCUGUGUUUCCCAGUGAAACCCGGGUCUCUCUGUGCACAGAGGUGGGGCCACGUCCACCAUGGCAGACAACACAGCGAGACAUUGGGAUCAGGUUGGGAUCCUCAGGAGAAAUAAGUGAUCCUGGCCGUCUGUCCCAGCUGCACUGACACCGAGGACGACUGUGUCAGCUCAUAUGAGGCCACAAAGCCUGCAAGAGAAGAAAGAAGAGAUUACAUUCUA